CCUACGGGAGGCAGCAGUAGGGAAUCUUCCGCAAUGGGCGAAAGCCUGACGGAGCAACGCCGCGUGAGUGAUGAAGGUUUUCGGAUCGUAAAGCUCUGUUGCCAGGGAAGAACGUCUCAUAGAGUAACUGCUAUGAGAGUGACGGUACCUGAGAAGAAAGCCCCGGCUAACUACGUGCCAGCAGCCGCGGUAAU
rnacentral:rRNA from 1 species